rnacentral:rRNA from 1 species
CAGCAGCCGCGGUAAUWCAGGGGGGCAGCGUUAUUCAGAAUGAUUUGGUGUAAAGAAGUUUGUAGAUUGUGGCCUUAGGUUGUUAGUAAAAAACUAUGUUUAUUGCUUAGAAAUACUGAUAAGACUUUGUUGCUUGAGUAAAAUAGGGGUUAAUAGAAUUUUGUAUAUAGGGGUAAAAUCCAAUUAUUUACAAAGGAAUGCCAGUAGCGAAGGCGAUUUUCUGGGUUUUUUACUGACAUUGAGGAACGAAAGCGUAGGUAGCAAACGAGAUUUGAGACCUCGGUAGUCUACGCCGUCAAAUAUGAUUGUUAAUGGUAGGAGUCUUUUCUGUCAUAAAGUUAACACGUUAAACAAUCCACCUGGGGAGUAUUGUCGCAAGAUUGGAACUCAAAGAAAUUGACGGGGGUCUACACAAAUGGUGGAGUAUGUGAUUUAAUGCGAUACUACGCGCAAAAUCUUACCAGUUCUUGAAUAUAUGGAAUUGAACAUUUAAUCAUUUACAUUUUUUUAAGCAAUUAUUCUAAUUGCUUUAUAAUAACCAUAUACAGGUGUUGCAUGGCUGUCGUCAGCUCGUGCUGUGAAGUGUUAGGUUAAUUCCUUUAACGGGCGUAACUCUUACUUUAUUUUGGUAGUGUUUGAAUUAAUUUGAAACAACAACUUUUAGAGGAUAGCUAAUGAUAAAUUAGAGGAGGCUGAGAAUGACGUCAAGCCCUUAUGGCCUUUAUGAACUGGGCUAUACACGUGCAACAAUGUUAGUUACAAAAAGUUAUACCAAAAGGAAACUUUGAGUUAAUCUUUAAAAACUGUCGUGUUCGAAUUGAAGACUGUAACUCGUCUUCAUGAAGGUGGAAUCAUAAUUAAUCGUAAAUCAGCACGUUACGGUGAAUUUGUACUUAGAUCUGCACACACCGCCCGU